GAUGAACGCUGGCGGCGUGCCUAAUACAUGCAAGUCGAGCGAACAGAUAAGGAGCUUGCUCCUUUGGCGUUAGCGGCGGACGGGUGAGUAACACGUGGGUAACCUACCUAUAAGACUGGGAUAACUUCGGGAAACCGGAGCUAAUACCGGAUAACAUUUGGAACCGCAUGGUUCUAAAGUGAAAGAUGGUUUUGCUAUCACUUAUAGAUGGACCCGCGCCGUAUUAGCUAGUUGGUAAGGUAACGGCUUACCAAGGCAACGAUACGUAGCCGACCUGAGAGGGUGAUCGGCCACACUGGAACUGGGACACGGUCCAGACUCCUACGGGAGGCAGCAGUAGGGAAUCUUCCGCAAUGGGCGAAAGCCUGACGGAGCAACGCCGCGUGAGUGAUGAAGGGUUUCGGCUCGUAAAACUCUGUUAUUAGGGAAGAACAAAUGUGUAAGUAACUGUGCACGUCUUGACGGUACCUAAUCAGAAAGCCACGGCUAACUACGUG
rnacentral:rRNA from 1 species